CUGCGAGUUCGCGGGAGAGUAAGUUAUUGCCAGGGUUUUUAUUUUAUACUUUAAACCUUGAAUUUAUUUUUUAAAUGUUUAUAUUAUUUGAAUAAAACAUUCAAAUAAUAUAAAAAACAAUAUAUAUAUUGACAUGGAUUAAACAAAGAUAUAUAUUAUUCUAUGUUGUAUGAACAAAUUGGCAAAAUAGAGAUGGAAGAUAAAAAUAUGGUCAAAGUAAUAAGAGUCUAUGGUGAAUGCCUAGGA
rnacentral:misc_RNA from 1 species